GGAGGAGUGGCCGAGUGGUCGAAGGCAGCGGUUUUGAAAACCGCCGUGGGGCAACCCACCAGGGGUUCGAAUCCCUUCUCCUCCG
rnacentral:tRNA from 1 species